CGUAACAUAGCAUCAAGAGAUAUGCUUAGUUUAUUUCGGGCAAAUUCAUGUAUUUUAUAUAAUUUUUCUGAUAGAUUUUGGCCGUAUUCAGAACUUAAUUUUGAUUCAUAUUUUUCAGGAUCAACUCUAUCAAGCACUAAAUCUACUGGGAGUGUGACCGAUCGCCCAAACACCAUUUCACAUGGGCUUAUCCCUGUGGCCUCAUGGAAAGAUGAUCGAUAUGCCAACAUGAGGAUAGCAUCAACCCAUUUGGUGAAGUAGUCUCCCACAACUAGAAGAUAAGAAUUUUUCCUGUAAGUCAUUGGUAAAGGACCUAAUAUAUCCACUGCCCAUCUCUCCAUAGGAGCACCUACCAGAGCCCUUGGGAGCUGAUGUUUGCUUUGGUGAAGAUUCAUUUUGAAAGAGUUCUUCAUGGGAUGAAUUUUCUACUUCUGCCUGGGAUCUUGGAUUGAAAAUAAUCUCUCCCGAAUCUUCUAAAUGACUAUUCUCCCGUGACAUUUUUUUUUUAAUUCU